AGAGUUUGAUCCUGGCUCAGGAUGAACGCUAGCGGCAGGCUUAACACAUGCAAGUCGAGGGGCAGCGGGGAGGAAGCUUGCUUUCUCCGCCGGCGACCGGCGCACGGGGUGAGUAACACGUAUGCAACCUGCCCCUGUCAGGGGGACAACCCGCCGAAAGGCGGGCUAAACCCGCGUACAUGCCACCGGGGCAUCCCGGAGGCAGGAAAGGCUUCGGCCGGACAGGGAUGGGCAUGCGGCGCAUUAGGCAGUAGGCGGGGUAACGGCCCACCUAACCGACGAUGCGUAGGGGUUCUGAGAGGAAGGUCCCCCACACUGGUACUGAGACACGGACCAGACUCCUACGGGAGGCAGCAGUGAGGAAUAUUGGUCAAUGGUCGGGAGACUGAACCAGCCAAGCCGCGUGAGGGAGGAAGGUACAGAGUAUCGUAAACCUCUUUUGUCAGGGAACAAAGGCGGGGACGUGUCCCCGGAUGAGUGUACCUGAAGAAAAAGCAUCGGCUAACUCCGUGCCAGCAGCCGCGGUAAUACGGAGGAUGCGAGCGUUAUCCGGAUUUAUUGGGUUUAAAGGGUGCGCAGGCGGUCUGUUAAGUCAGCGGUCAAAGCCCGGGGCUCAACCCCGGCCCGCCGUUGAAACUGGCAGUCUCGAGUUGGAGAGAAGUAUGCGGAAUGCGCGGUGUAGCGGUGAAAUGCAUAGAUAUCGCGCAGAACUCCGAUUGCGAAGGCAGCAUGCCGGCUCCACACUGACGCUGAGGCACGAAAGCGUGGGUAUCGAACAGGAUUAGAUACCCUGGUAGUCCACGCAGUAAACGAUGAAUGCUGGCUGUCCGGGGGGAUUGACCCCUGGGUGGCGAAGCGAAAGCGAUAAGCAUUCCACCUGGGGAGUACGCCGGCAACGGUGAAACUCAAAGGAAUUGACGGGGGCCCGCACAAGCGGAGGAACAUGUGGUUUAAUUCGAUGAUACGCGAGGAACCUUACCCGGGCUCAAACGGGGAGUGCCGCAGGCAGAGACGCCUGUUUCCCACGGGACACUCCCCGAGGUGCUGCAUGGUUGUCGUCAGCUCGUGCCGUGAGGUGUCGGCUUAAGUGCCAUAACGAGCGCAACCCCCGCGUGCAGUUGCUAACAGAUAACGCUGAGGACUCUGCACGGACUGCCGGCGCAAGCCGCGAGGAAGGCGGGGAUGACGUCAAAUCAGCACGGCCCUUACGUCCGGGGCGACACACGUGUUACAAUGGGUGGUACAGCGGGAAGCCAGGCGGCGACGCCGAGCGGAACCCGAAAUCCACUCUCAGUUCGGAUCGGAGUCUGCAACCCGACUCCGUGAAGCUGGAUUCGCUAGUAAUCGCGCAUCAGCCAUGGCGCGGUGAAUACGUUCCCGGGCCUUGCACACACCGCCCGUCA
rnacentral:rRNA from 1 species